rnacentral:rRNA from 1 species
GAUGAACGCUAGCGACAGGCCUAACACAUGCAAGUCGAGGGGCAGCAUGAAAUUAGCUUGCUAAUUUUGAUGGCGACCGGCGCACGGGUGAGUAACACGUAUGCAACCUGCCUGUAAGCGGGGGAUAACCCGGAGAAAUUCGGACUAAUACCGCAUAAUAUCAUUAAUUCGCAUGUUUUAAUGAUUAAAAAUUUAUUGCUUACAGAUGGGCAUGCGUAUGAUUAGCUAGUUGGCGGGGUAACGGCCCACCAAGGCGACGAUCAUUAGGGGUUCUGAGAGGAAGGUCCCCACAUUGGAACUGAGACACGGUCCAAACUCCUACGGGAGGCAGCAGUGAGGAAUAUUGGUCAAUGGGGGAAACCCUGACCCAGCAACGCCGCGUGAAGGAAGAAGGCUUUCGGUGUAAACUCUUUUACCAGGGACGAAGGACGUGACGGUACCUGGAGAAAAGCAACGGCUAACUACGUG